rnacentral:rRNA from 1 species
CGCGUGGGUAAUCUCCCCCUGAAUUGGGGAUAACAUUGCGAAAGCGAUGCUAAUACCGAAUAAUAUCUUAAGUACCCCGGUAAUUAAGAUCAAAGAUGGCCUCUACAUGUAAGCUAUUGUUUGGGGAUGAGCCCGCGUACCAUUAGCUUGUUGGUAGGGUAACGGCCUACCAAGGCUUCGAUGGUUAGCUGGUCUGAGAGGAUGAUCAGCCACACUGGAACUGGCACACGGUCCAG